CAGAGAGCUUGCUCUCGGGUGACGGGUGGCGGACGGGUGAGUAAUGUCUGGGAAACUGCCUGAUGGAGGGGGAUAACUACUGGAAACGGUAGCUAAUACCGCAUAACGUCGCAAGACCAAAGAGGGGGACCUUCGGGCCUCUUGCCAUCAGAUGUGCCCAGAUGGGAUUAGCUAGUAGGUGGGGUAACGGCUCACCUAGGCGACGAUCCCUAGCUGGUCUGAGAGGAUGACCAGCCACACUGGAACUGAGACACGGUCCAGACUCCUACGGGAGGCGGCAGUGGGGAAUAUUGCACAAUGGGCGCAAGCCUGAUGCAGCCAUGCCGCGUGUAUGAAGAAGGCCUUCGGGUUGUAAAGUACUUUCAGCGGGGAGGAAGGUGUUGCGGUUAAUAACCGCAGCAAUUGACGUUACCCGCAGAAGAAGCACCGGCUAACUCCGUGCCAGCAGCCGCGGUAAUACGGAGGGUGCAAGCGUUAAUCGGAAUUACUGGGCGUAAAGCGCACGCAGGCGGUCUGUCAAGUCGGAUGUGAAAUCCCCGGGCUCAACCUGGGAACUGCAUUCGAAACUGGCAGGCUAGAGUCUUGUAGAGGGGGGUAGAAUUC
rnacentral:rRNA from 1 species